rnacentral:lncRNA from 1 species
CAGAAUUUCCUUAACAAAUUUAGUCAUCUGAGCACAUUACAACACCUUUACAGUUAUGCAGAAAAGGACAGAGGAGCUUUGAUGGAUGUUUUAGAACAAGGAAUGCACCUUGAUAUGAAGGAACUGUUCCAACAAGUAGAGCUCGCCAUGCAACAAGAUCAGGAUUAAAUAUAAUCCAGACAGUAAAUCUCAACGGAUAAUCCCAUCCGGCAUCAAAAAAUUGGCAGCAUCUAAUAUCGCAUAUAUUCUUUUGAUGUAAAAUGUCUACGGUAUAUAUUUCAUUUAUGGAUUUGGUUUGUACAUUUUUUUUUUUUUUUUUGCAAUCCUAUUGGACGUUAUAUACAGUAUGGCGAAUGUGGCUAUUUUACAGGCUGACAUACUUUUUUUUGAGCCCGCAUUUUAAUCUUGAAUGCCUGUUAAACAAACUGCUUUUCAUUAGCUUUGGUGUAGACACAGCCAGAUUUAUGUGUGUGUUGAGUAUGCAGUCCAAUGCACCCCUCAACUCAAAUUCAUGGUUCGUGUGUAGUGCUCCAAUAUUUGGCCAGUACAUAAACACUACUUGUGAAAUUGCGCAUCAGAAAGGCUACCAUGAUAGUAUCUAUCAAAAGUUCAAUAAAUUGAAAUUGAAUUGAAGUUAUGAAAAGUGUACCAAUGUUCAGUUGAUUUGUGAACAUAACUUGCAAAGUUUCAAAUUUGUUAAGGUAUCACAAUAUGACAACAUUUGUAAUGAGAUUCGUGAAAAUCAUUCCAUUGCUGUACUGUAAUUACGAGUUUAAAAAUGUUGGUUACAACUUCGCAAAUAUGACCAUUGGAGGUCAAGUGAAAAAGUAGUUCGUGGCCUGACAUGGCAUCUCAAGUUAAGGCCCCUUUAGAGGAAUAAUUACGAUACCACAAGUUCUUGCUGAUUAUUGUACAUCUACUCAUGAAAGAGCCACUGAACAAAUUAUAGCCAAUCGUAUAAAAAUACACAGCUUUUAGUGCCUUAGUUGAGAAUUAAGUUGGUGUAAAUAUUAAUCAAUGUUUGAUUGUUGAUAUAUAUUUGAAUGAGAAAAAUAAUUAUACAGUUCGUUUGAAGUGUACGUUUUUCAGCAAUAGUAUUAUCAAAUGUUAUUUUCUAAAAUCAGUGAAAAAAUGUAUAAAAAAAAAUUAUUUCCUUGUUGACCAAAUGUUUUAGGAAACUACAAUGAAAACGCAUCACCUAAUCAAGAUUAUUGGAUUAUAUACUUUAAUUUUCUAUAAAUGUGUUUGUUACGUAGUUAGUGCGCAUAUUUGACUAUUCGUUUUCUGAUAUAUUCAGCCCACCGGGAAUCUUUACAUCUUGUUGACAGUGCUGUCAAUUCAAAAUAACAACUGAAUGAAAAAAAAAUGUUCCACAUUAAUACAAACAACUUUUAUCUCGCUCUCUGCCCUCUUCUCUCUCCCAAUUAUUCUAACUUAGUGAUAGAAAAGAGUACUGUUUUUUUUUCUACAAAAAUUAUUUCAUAAGAUUAUAAAUGGCUUAUACAAUGAGAGUAAUGAUUGUUUUAAAGAUUAAGUUGAUAUCAACUUCAUAUAUUAUAUGAAUAAUGAAAACCAUCAUGAAAAAAUAAAAAAGAAAAAAACAAAACUAUCAGCAGGUUAAUUUUUAAUUAAUUUAAUUGCUAUUCUGUGGUUUUCUCCAUUACUUAUUUAUGCCUGACCUUGGAAUAGGCCAUCAACUGCAAAUCUAUAUGAAAUAUGUUAUUGGACCACUGUUUUCUUCUCUCCGUUGUAUCGGUCUUUCUUCAUUUCUAAAGCCCUGUAUAAACUAUCAAAUUUUAUUUGACAAAAACAUGUGACAUGCCUAAAUAUGGUCAUGAUGACAUCACAUCAUGACCAAAUAUAGGCACAUCAUGACUAUAUAUGGGCGCACACUAGUUUUUGAUCGUGUGAACAGAGAUUUAAACUGACUUCAAAAGAGGACCGUAUGUGUGACUUAGAAAAUGAUCCCCUUGUCUCUGUUCAUAAUGAGGGAUCCUCUUGGUCUGAUCCAGAUGGCUUCACAGAUUCUAUGGGUGUUGGCCCUAGUUAACUUCUAUAGUAAACCUAUUGUACCAUCAUUCUGAAGAAGGAUAUCAUCCAGGAUACUUGAUAAAUAUGUAAUAUCUGUGUAAAGCGAAUAUACUUGGAAAAUAAAACUGUUGUUGUUG